UGGGGAAUAUUGCACAAUGGGCGCAAGCCUGAUGCAGCAACGCCGCGUGAGGGAUGACGGCCUUCGGGUUGUAAACCUCUUUUAGCAGGGAAGAAGCGAAAGUGACGGUACCUGCAGAAAAAGCACCGGCUAACUACGUGCCAGCAGCCGCGGUAAUACGUAGGGUGCAAGCGUUGUCCGGAAUUAUUGGGCGUAAAGAGCUCGUAGGCGGUCUGUCGCGUCUGCUGUGAAAUCCCGAGGCUCAACCUCGGGCCUGCAGUGGGUACGGGCAGACUAGAGUGCGGUAGGGGAGAAUGGAACUCCUGGUGUAGCGGUGGAAUGCGCAGAUAUCAGGAAGAACACCGAUGGCGAAGGCAGUUCUCUGGGCCGUAACUGACGCUGAGGAGCGAAAGCGUGGGGAGCGAACAGGAUUAGAUACCCUGGUAGUCCACGCCGUAAACGUUGGGCGCUAGAUGUGGGGACCAUUCCACGGUUUCCGUGUCGCAGCUAACGCAUUAAGCGCCCCGCCUGGGGAGUACGGCCGCAA
rnacentral:rRNA from 1 species